GCCCAUCUAGCUCAGUUGGUAAAGCAUGGGAUCCUUGAUCUCAGGAUUGUGGGUCUGAGCCCCCAUGCUGGGUG